AAAAAUCCCAAAUCAGUACCCACCCGAGUCAUCUUCCCAGUCCCAGCUGCGCCCCAGAUCCCUCGCCGCCGCCGCCGCCCAGCUGCGCCCCAAAUCCCUCGCCGCCGCCCGGCUGCACGCUGAAUCCCUCGCCGGCGGCUCUACCUCCUCCACUCUCUCGCCUGCCCCCUCCGCCAUAUUUGUUGGGUCGUCGACCACGGAACGACCGCCUCCGGAAUGUCGCUGUCAACCUCCUGUUGCCUCCGCGGGAGGGUCUCCUUCAACGUCACCGCCACUGCCGUCACUCGACCGCCGUAGCAUCCUUCUUUGAGUACCACCCCGUUCCAUCCAGGAUCUGUAUCCUUCUGAUAAAUUUCAUCUGUGAGCACCUAUGAUUGGAUUCAGCAAAAAAUAAUAAGCAUUUUCUCCUCCCUAAUUUGUUGGGUACUAGCGGAAGCAAAUGGCUCUAUAUGGAGUUUCAUUUUGAAUAGGCCAAAGUAGUCGAACGCCUCUCCUCUGCAACCAUAUGUCUGCAAGAUACUCUACUGAUACUAGAGCCAACUGCUUUUAGAAAGGGAACUCUUUCUUAACCGGAUUGCUUUGGUUUGCUCUGUCUGGAAUAAUGCACUGAAAAUGAAAACAUUGCAGGGAACACGUCAUGAAAUAGCAGUUGCGUUGCAAGUACAAUGAACAUCAUCAAUGCAACAGAGAGGUUAAAGAUGAGGUUGAGGUUAUCACUUGGCGUCAAGAAAUUGUAUAAUAUUCUUCCAAAUGAAGUGGGGCAAAAAUCAAGAUCCGUGAUCCACGUGAGAUGCAAGAGCCUUUGCUCUAAUCAAGGAUUUAGGAAGCAUUGACCAGCUGCAUGGCAAGUACAAGGAGCAUUAUCAGUACAACAAGGAGGUUCAAUCAAGAAGUUGAGGUCAUCAAUCAAGGCAAGAAAUUCUACCAUAUUGUUCUGAAUGAAGAGGUACCUUUUCCUGCUAUUACAUUAUCAAAUAUUUGCAUAAUGCUUUGGUUUCUACUAUUAUGGAGAUGAUCAAGGAUCUGUCGAGCAUUCUUGCAAAUCUGAAAUGGAUAGACUUAACUCCCUACUAUUUUCUUAUUAUGUAGCUUUGUGGUUAUGCAUCCUUGAGGAGUUGCACUUAAUUCUAUUAACAUUGGUAUUGUGUUUUGAAGUGACUUGCAAGAAGUCUCUAAUAAAUUAUCUACUCCGACUGUUAGCUGAUAGUUCUGUCAAACUGACCCAGAAGCUUGUGCUCAGGUUGUCAUUUGAAUGGAUUUAGUCAGCUGUAUGGUUUGCAUCAAAUCUGAGACAUGAUGCUAGAACAAAUCACUCCAUUAUUUGGCUAUAUAGCUGUUAAAUUUGGUAACCCUGCUGUGACAAAAACAAGUUUGGUAUAUAUGCCAAUGUUAAUGUGAGAAGCUGAGAUACCAAAUAGAUUAUGUUGAUCAUAUCUUAUAUAUGUUAUCCUGUUUCUUGUUACCUUUUUAACACUUGCUCAUUUUCACAAGUUCAAUUAUGCCACUGCAAGGUAACCUUGAAUAGCAGCUUGCAACUUAAGCUGCAGCAAGGCAUUAUAGAAAAUGAGGUCUCAUGUUGGACCUCUGUUUUUGUUAGCCUUUGAUUCAUGUAAAUUCUAUGGAACUGUACCAGGAGAUAUGUGAAUUGUAGAUAUAUGGUUGACGUAAACUAUUGAAAUUGAUGUUUCUGUGUUCUGAGUAUUCUGAAUAAUGGAAUAAAUGUGUAAAACUAUCAA